rnacentral:rRNA from 1 species
AUACCCCCGUGCCGUGAGCGCCUCGGAACCACCCCACUCCAUGCCGAACUGGGUCGUGAAACGUGGCAGCGCCUAUGAUACUUGGACCGCAGGGUCCUGGGAAAGUCGGUGCAGUGCGGGGGUUU